ACAAUGAAAAGAUAUUAUCGGACUAUGGGACAACUUUUGUUACAGCAUGGAAGAAUACUCACAACUACAGGGUGUGGAACAGCAACAAGCAUCCAGCACUUGCAGAAAUAAAUCCAAACCAUCCAUUUCAAGGCCAAUACUCAGUAUCAGACAUGAAGUUAAGGUUCUCACAGCCAGUCAGUUGGAGGAGCUUUUUCCAGUGCAAAGACAGCUAUGUCUUCAUGGCUUUCCACUUUCACCACUUCCACCUCCCAAAGUCUCACUGAGCCACCGGAUGGGAAGCCUUGAGCAAGGUGUCAGAGGCUGCUAUUGCUUUCUGAGGUUUAAGUGUCCCCUGUCUGUCUGCUGCUCCCAGGCUGUUACCAGCCACAGAUCCACAGCAGGGGACCUAUGUCGAACUGUUUACAUGGAUGUUGCUCUAAGUGAAUGUUUUGGGAUGCCGAAAUGAUGAAAUCACAGCCAUAACAGGGAUGGCUUUCCAGUUUAUAUUCAGCAAAGUAAGAGGCAAGAGAAGAAAACUGCAGCCUUGACAUCUGUCAUCUGAGAAAGGACAUCUGGUUUCAUGUUAGGCACAUACAUGCAUGUGUGUGCCAUCUACUGAUGAUUUGUACACAGCUGGACCUCGUGUGUUUGCCAUGCUCAGCUCUCAUUUGCUUUUCAAGGAUACCUGGGAUGGCCGUUCUCAGAGAGUACUUACGGGGAACAGACUGCCUUUUAGUAACAAAGGAUACUUGGGAAAUACAUU
rnacentral:lncRNA from 1 species